rnacentral:rRNA from 1 species
UACAGAGGGUGCGAGCGUUAAUCGGAAUUACUGGGCGUAAAGCGCGCGUAGGCGGCUCGGAAAGUCGGGCGUGAAAUCCCUGGGCUCAACCCAGGAACUGCGUCCGAUACUGGCGGGCUUGAAUCCGGGAGAGGGAUGUGGAAUUCCAGGUGUAGCGGUGAAAUGCGCAGAUAUCAGGAGGAACACCGGUGGCGAAGGCGGGGUCUCUGGGCAGUAACUGACGCUGGAGGAGCGAAAAGCGUGGGGAGCGAACAGG